rnacentral:lncRNA from 1 species
AUGUAUGUGAGUUGACAAAUGGAUAAGUCGACAGCCUCAAUAGAUAUCCUGGGAGAUGGUGGAUCGACUGGGUCCAUAGGGAACCCUAUCGGGAACGUUGUCUCUCAUAUCGGACGGGGUAUGGAGACUUUAAAUGUUUUGGCGCUCAUACCGGACAGGGUAUGAGGACGGCCCGCUUCACCCUUAUAUCGGACGGGGUAUUGAGAUUCAUGGUUUUGGUGCCUAUACCGGACGGGGUAUGGAGACGGCCCUGGAAUUAAGUUAUUAAGGUGAAUGGAACACAUGUAGCAAGGACCCCUAUGGAUCCCCAUGGAUACUGGUAGGCUGGUAAAAGAGGAA